rnacentral:rRNA from 1 species
UACGUAGGGAGCGAGCGUUGUCCGGAUUCAUUGGGCGUAAAGAGCUCGUAGGCGGCUUGAUAAGUCGGAUGUGAAACCUCCAGGCUCAACCUGGAGUCGCCAUCCGAUACUGUCAUAGCUAGAGUCCGGUAGGGGCCCACGGAACUCCUGGUGUAGCGGUGAAAUGCGCAGAUAUCAGGAAGAACACCAGUGGCGAAGGCGGUGGGUUGGGCCGGUACUGACGCUGAGGAGCGAAAGCGUGGGGAGCGAACAGG